GGCUCCGUAGCCAAGCGGGAAGGCAAUGGUCUGCAACACCUUGAUCGUCGGUUCAAAUCCGACCGGAGCCUCCA
rnacentral:tRNA from 3 species